rnacentral:rRNA from 1 species
AUUGAACGCUGGCGGCAGGCCUAACACAUGCAAGUCGAGCGGAUGAAGGGAGCUUGCUCCUGGAUUCAGCGGCGGACGGGUGAGUAAUGCCUAGGAAUCUGCCUGGUAGUGGGGGAUAACGUCCGGAAACGGGCGCUAAUACCGCAUACGUCCUGAGGGAGAAAGUGUGGGAUCUUCGGACCUCACGCUAUCAGAUGAGCCUAGGUCGGAUUAGCUAGUUGGUGGGGUAAAGGCCUACCAAGGCGACGAUCCGUAACUGGUCUGAGAGGAUGAUCAGUCACACUGGAACUGAGACACGGUCCAGACUCCUACGGGAGGCAGCAGUGGGGAAGAUUGGACAAUGGGCGAAAGCCUGAUCCAGCCAUGCCGCGUGUGUGAAGAAGGUCUUCGGAUUGUAAAGCACUUUAAGUUGGGAGGAAGGGAAGUAAGUUAAUACCUUGCUGUUUUGACGGUACCAACAGAAUAAGCACCGGCUAAAUUCGUG